rnacentral:lncRNA from 1 species
UUAAUGCUUCAAUUUAAAACUUUGCUUUUGAAUGUAUUGUUAACUAUUAGUAUCUGUUGUCAAUUUUAUUAUGACACAACAUACAAAUCAGAUAAUUCAUUGGUUUAUUACUUGCAAAAAUCUUAUCCUGCUGCACAUUAUGAAGCUUUUUUGAGAUAUCUUCAAUCUACCCAGCCUACCACAGCUAAGUUUGUAACCUACCACAGCAACAUCUUCAUCUGCAAUUAGUGCUCUAGUUCCAUCCUCAAUUGCAUUGAGUGUUCCAUCUACAUCUGGAAUAAUUGUUACAUCUUCAGCUGCUACAAGUGUCCCACAACCUCCACAACAAUCAACACAACCUUCUGCUGAGCUUACCUAUGGUGCCUAUAGAAGAUAUAGGGACCAGCACUCUGGACCGAUGAGUAAUCGAUCAUUUUUGCGGUGGGUCCGGUUAGGAGGGAAUGAUGGGUUGAUACUCCAACCUGCAUCUUGUAAUGUGGUAAGAUUAUUAAAGUUAUAUCUCGCUUUUUACACAAUUUAAAGACAUUUUUGAAAUUUUUAUUAACAUUUUUUUAAAGUUUAAAUAAAAAGAGGUGGGGGGGGGGGAUGUUGGGCGUGGCACACACCCCUCCCCUCACUAACAUGGUAAAAUAAUCUUAAAUACUAAUUUCUCUUUUUAAAUAAAAUCAGUUUAAAACCAUUUUUUAAAUAUCUUUUAAAAUUUUUUUUUAGGUUGGAGAAGACUAAGAGGAAGGGGGAGGGAGGGGCGUUAAGCUUGGCAUCGUUCCGCCCCUAAUGUCAAUUUAUGCACCACUUGUAUAUUCUGUUAAGUUAAAAAAUAUAAUUUAAAGUCUUUAACACAAAA